rnacentral:rRNA from 1 species
AGCAUAUUAAGCGCGAAGCCCACUCCAAGAUAAGAAUUCCCUAUGAACUCCCAGAAAGAAGAUCUGGUUGAUAGGUGCAAGGUGAAAGCACGGCAACGUGUGGAGCCGAAGCAUACUAAUAGAGUCAUUGCCUUUUUAUG